CAGCAGCCACGGUAAUACGGAGGGUGCAAGCGUUAAUCGGAAUUACUGGGCGUAAAGCGCACGCAGGCGGUUUGUUAAGUCAGAUGUGAAAUCCCCGAGCUUAACUUGGGAACUGCAUUUGAAACUGGCAAGCUAGAGUCUUGUAGAGGGGGGUAGAAUUCCAGGUGUAGCGGUGAGAUGCGUAGAGAUCUGGAGGAAUACCGGUGGCGAAGGCGGCCCCCUGGACAAAGACAGACGCUCAGGUGCGAAAGCGUGGGGAGCAAACAGGAUUAGAUACCCCAGUAGUCCCUGUCUCUUAUAC
rnacentral:rRNA from 1 species